rnacentral:rRNA from 1 species
ACGAAGGUCCCAAGCGUUGUUCGGAAUCACUGGGCGUAAAGGGUGCGUAGGCGGCGUGGUAAGUCAGAUGUGAAAUCCCGGGGCUCAACCCCGGAACUGCAUCCGAUACUGCCGUGCUAGAGGACUGGAGAGGUAACUGGAAUUCUCGGUGUAGCAGUGAAAUGCGUAGAGAUCGAGAGGAACACUUAUGGCGAAAGCAAGUUACUGGACAGUAUCUGACGCUGAUGCACGAAGGCUAGGGGAGCGAAAGGGA